rnacentral:lncRNA from 1 species
CAUUGAGACAUUUUGUUCUCCUUUCUCCUUUACUGAGCAGUAGCAAAGAUUAUCGAGACUAAAUUGAAAGUCAUGAAAGAAGACAUAAACAACACCACCAUACAAAAUGUUACACUCAAACAAACCAUUACAGAUAGUACGAAAUGCAAUGAAAGACACAGGAAUUGGUACAACAAUAAAGACAGACACAUACCAAUGCAACCCUUCACCAUAGGCAAAACGGUCUACAGAAUAAGAAAUUAUGAAAAUACAACACUAAUUCUUGAACAUCAUUUCCAGUAAUUAGAUCCUUCUUCGUCUAUUGCUUCGAUUGCCUUUCUUUGACUUUCUUCUUCGCCUCAUCUCUUGUUGGUUUUCAACCAAAUUCACCAACCAUUUCGGCUUACCAAUUUGGAAAACAACAUAUCCCACGGACAUUCCGAACACCACUCUGCAUCCAUAACCUAUCAACACCACUUUCCAACCAAAAGCAAUGUUUGAUUUUGAGCCAUCUUUUUCAAGCGCAUUUGGAGGUGCUGGCUCAAUGAUGUUGCAACCUUUCGAGACCGGAAACCCACACAGUCCAUUAUUCCCUUCAUAUGAAUCAUUUCCAAAUGUGUUGAAUUGUUUUCCUUGAGGAAUCUGACCAUGGAGUUGAUUUUCAGCGACAUUGAAGGACGAAAGAAAUGGCAGAUCUGCCAAUCUAUUUGGAAUCGUCCCAGACAACCUGUUUGAAGAUAGGUCCAACCAUUCAAUACUUGUCAAAUUCCCUAUUGAUGUGGGAUACCACCAUUAAGGUUAUUAUGAGAAAGGUUGAGCCCUUUCAGUAAGUUAAGCUUCCCAAAAACCUUUGGAAUACCCCCUUCAAACUGAUUGUUUGAUAGAUCAAUGAUCAUCCACAUGGUGAAAAUUUUCACCAAUUCCAUAUAUUGUCCUUUCAUAACAGUUCCGAUGGAAUAGGUAUAGAAGCCAUUACCUCUCGGAACAUACAUCCCCAUGUACGACAUUGUACUCCCAAUCUUCUCUAGAUUUAUGAUACCCUUGAAGCUGUUGAUGUAUCUCACUGGUAGGGGUCCAGAAAAAUAAUUACUUGAGAGAAAAAAAAUUUGGAUUUUAGAGAAAAAAGGGCUAGACUUGGAGCUAUUGUCACAUAAGGAACCAUGCAUAUGAUUUGACUUCAAUACAAGAACUUGUAGCUGUGGAAGACUUCCCAACCAAUGAGGAAAUGUAUCAUUGAUCUUGUUCUUCUUCAGAUUCAAGAAUUGAAGGCUGUAGCUCAAAUUUUCAAAACAUUGCGGAAUUGUUCCGCUCAAGUUAUUGUGGGACAAAUCACGAAUUUGAAGAAAAGUGACAUUGCAUAUUAAAGAAGAGACCUCUCCAUUGAAACUAUUAUUUGAGAUCAGAAAGACAUUGAUCGUCGAAGCUGGAAUGGGAAGAUUUCCACGGAUCAAAUUGGAGCUUAAGUCAAGAACUGCAAUAUUCUUCCAUGGAAAGUGCUCAACUUCUGUCAAAGAGUUGUGAGAUACAUUUAAGUCAAAGAGCCAUUGCCCACCUCUUGCAUCCACUGUGGAAUCUUGCCUUCAAUUUUGUUGCAAGAGAGGUCCAAGCUUUCCAAACUUUUAAGCCCUUAUAAAAACUGGGGGAAUUCACUAAGAUUGAAAGAUGACAAACGUAAGUCUAUAAGAUUAGACAAUAUAUGGUUAACACAAGAAGUAGUAUUAAAUGUUAAGGAUAGGCUGUUAUAUGAAAGGUCGAGAAGUUUUAGAGUUGGAAGGUUUGAGAACAUGCGAAACUCUAUGACACCACUAAGAUUAUUUGAGGAUAAAAGGAGGUGGGUAAGAUUGAGAAGUUGGAAUAUUGAAGAUGGAAGAGGACCUUGGAGUUUAUUAUUGUUUAACCUUAUCAAUUCUAGUGUUUUGGAUUGGAAUUCUUUGAUAUGCCCACUGAAUUGUUUUUAGAGAGAUCUAUUGUUUAACCACGUUAUUUUUCAGUGACGGAUCGAGAAAUAAAACUUAGGGGGAGCAGGGGCGAAGUUAGAAAAUUAGUUUGGGGUAAUCGAAAUUAAAUUAUAUAUUUUUAUGAUAGUAAAAAUAGAAUUUCGUCAUUUUAAUAGCCUAUAUCUUUAUAAUUUUUAGAGGAUUAAAUUAAUUUUUUAUCAUUUGAGGGGGGCAAAGUGCAAUUUUACCGUUAUUAAUUUAAAAUUUUAUAAAUUAUAAAUGGCCUAAAUUUUAAAAAAAAAAUCAUUUUAGGGGGUUGAGACCCUGUCAGCCCUCUCCCUAGACCCACCCCUAGUCUUUUUGAUACAAUUUGGCAGUUUAAGUACUUAAUUAGUGCAAAAAAAAAAAAACUAGGGGCUCAAUAGCUUUUUUUUGAAAAAGUUUGAGAGCCUUUUUGAUCCAUUUUGGCAGUUCAAAUGCCCAAUUCAGUGCAAGAAAAGAAGUAGGGGCUUAAUUAUUUUUUUUUAAAAAAAGUUUGAGAGCCUUUUUACACCAUUGAACCUUUUUUAUACUAAUUGGUAGACGCGAAGUUAUAAAUAUUUAAUUGUUAAUGUAAUUUUUAGAAUUUCUAAAGAAUAAUAAUAUUUAAAAUCUUAUAAUUUUUUUUAUUUCAUGUGCAUAAAAAACUUAAAUAAAUAAGUGUUUAGAUUUAGAUUAAUCACGCUGUCCAUUUAUUCAUAUUCAUUCUAGAGGUAUAACUUUUAGUUAUUUUAUAUGUUUUUAUAAUUAAAAAUAAUGGUAUAAAAGUCGAUUAAGUUUUAGCUCAAUUGACAUAGACAUUGUUGUUGAGGAGGACCUAUUGGUAGUUCUAGGCAUUGUGUCAAAAUGAACUAUAUUUGAUAAGAACCUAUAAUGAAAUUAAUGUUAAAAAAAUAAUAGUAUAAAAAGCUAAUAUUUUUAUAAAAGUUUCAUUUUUUUUUCAGUUUUUGGAUUUUUCUCAUAUAAAAUUUUAGAAUUGUUUCUUGAAUUUUUAUAGCUUUUCUUAUUAUGAUGUUAUAUAAUUUUAGAUUUUUAUACAUCUUUAAUAUUUUUUUAGUUUUUUAUUGUUUCUCAAAUAAUGCUUGGUUGAUGUAGCUUGCCAAGUGGUAUCGUGUUAUUGGCUGUCAAUUUCAAUAAUAAAAAAAUUUGGAGUUGAUUAGUUAUGAACUAACUCGAUUAAUCAAUUCUAAAUUUAAGUACUAAUUAAGUCCAAAAAAAGUUCAAAUUUCAAUUCAUGCAAGUUGGAUGGCAAUGAAACGGGAUUGGGGUGCGAAUAUUGUCAAAUUCACUAUUGUUUCAUAGUUGAUGUGUUUUGUCCCAUCACUCACCCCCGCUCCACUAUGGAUGUUUAAUUUUGAAAACCACUCACCCCAUGGAUGUUGGAUGCAUCCAUCCCUGCUUCACGUCGUGCCAUUUCAAUUUAAUUUUUAUUAGUUUUUUUAAAAAUAUUUUCAAUUUUUUUUUAAUUUUAAAAUAUUUUCAAUCUUUUUAAAACUUAUAAAUAUUUAAACAUAAUUAUUCAAGAAAAACAUUUAAACAUAAAACAUAUGAGUUUUUUAUAACAUAUUUUUACCCUUUAAUAGUUAUAAAUAUACAAGGGUCGAAUAGUAAUUUCAAAUAGUGAAAUAGAGUGGAUUGGGACAAACAAUUACCAUAACUGCUACACUUAAUCAUCGUAAAAAAAAAAAAAAAAAAUCUAUUUCAUCCCCGCCCAUAUUCCCUUUUAAAAGGAUCUACUCUAAAUGAAACAAACCAAUUCAAAAUCCAUUUAACAUCCUAAAUUCUAAAACUAAUUUUGAUAUGAAGUCUCAAUUAAAUUCAAGUAAUAAGGUUUUUUGAUAUGGUUUACACUACUAACUUCUAUAUGAAAACAACAACCAUUUCCCAUGAUGUUUGCGGCUUACCAACAAAUCCUUGCAGAUUUUCAACGUAGAAGAAAAUCAUGAAAAUAAAAAAAAAAAAAAAAAAAAAACUCUGGUUGGGAUUUGUUUCAUAUGGAAAACAGAAAACAAAACUUAAGUUAGUCAAAAUUACCAACUCACUGCUGACAACAUUUUUGUUGUAACCAAACAUUUGGAAGAAAAUAAACACAAGAGCACGCCGUUGACCUGUAUUUCUUUUAUUCUUCAAUUCUAUUUCAUCUUUAAGCUGUAACCAAUGAUAAUCAAAUCUUGACUUGCAUAAAAACCAAAGAAAACAAAAUGAAUGCAGCAGAAUUUUCUACCACAAAUGAGUAGUAAUUUACAGAUAAUAAAAUUAUCGAAAAACUAUUGAGAGUCGAAUUUCAUAUUAAUUGUGGUAUCCAUGAACUAGAAUGUAUUAAAAAAAGAAGGAUAUUGACCUUGAGACUACUUGCAAUUUUCAAAAACACUCUCAAUUCCUCUCCCCCUCUUCGGGCACCGGCCCAAGAUCCUGCCAUUGGCUACCACGCCGGCCGCUAGUCGCCAGCGCCGGCGCCGUGCAUGGAGGAGGAGAGUCCAAAAAUAUCCUUUUUUUUUUCUCACAUGCAGAUCCUCGGCCUCCAAACACUCCGACGACGGCUACAAAGGUAAAAAGGCCUCUCAUUUUUUAUUUUUAUAAUGCUUCAAAAUAAAAAAAUAAAAAAAAGGGAAAAAAUCACCUUUAAAAAAAACUGAUUCCUGUUUUUUAUUUCUCUUUGUUUUUUUUUUUCCAAAAGAGAACUCCCUUAAUUUUUCAUCUUUUUUAGCCCUUAAACCUACGUUGUUUAUCAAUAACCUUAAACUUACAUUGUUUACCGGAUGAAAAAUUUAAUAUUUAUUAACUUUGCUAAGGUGCACAUAUGCAAUUUAUUUAAAUCUAAAAACUAUAAAAUAUCUUAAAAUUAAAACUAAAAGUUUUUAAACUACUUGAUUGCUCCUUUCUCCUUUACUGAGCAGUAGCAAAGAUAAUCGAGACUAAAUUGAAAUCCAUGAAAGAAGACAUAAAACACCUCCAUACAAAGUGUCACACUCAAACAAACCAUUACAGAUAGUACGAAAUGCAAUGAAAGACAGAGGAAUUGCUACAAUAACAAAGACAGACACAUACCAAUGCAACCCUUCACCAUAGGCAAAACAAGAAAUUAUGAAAAUACAACACUAGUUCUUGAACAUCAUUUGCAGUAAUUAGAUCCUUCUUCGUCCACUGCUGCGAUUGCCUUUCUUUGACUUUCUUCUUCGCCUCUUCUCAUGUUGGUUUUCAACCAAAUUCACCAACCAUUUCGGCUUUCCAGUUUGGAAAACAACAUAUCCCACCAGCAUUCCGAACACUACUCCGCAUCCAUAACCUAUCAACACCACUUUCCAUUCAAAAGCAAUGUUUGAUUUUGAGCCAUCUUUUUCAAGCACAUUUGGAGGUGCUGGCUCAAUGAUGUUGCAACCUUUCGAGACCGGAAAUCCACAUAGUCCCUUAUUUCCUUCAUAUGAAUCAUUUCCAAAUGUGUUGAAUUGUUUUCCUUGAGGAAUCUGACCAUGGAGUUGAUUUUCAGAAACAUUUAAGGACGAAAGAAAUGACAGAUCUGCCAAUCUAUUUGGAAUCGUCCCAGACAACCUGUUUGAAGAUAGGUCCAACCAUUCAAGACUUGUCAAACUCCCUAUUGAGGAGGGGAUAUCACCAUUAAGGUUAUUAUGAGAAAGGUUGAGCCCUUUCAGUAAGUUAAGCUUCCCAAUAACCUUUGGAAUACCCCCUUCAGACUGAUUGUUUGAUAGAUCAAUGAUCAUCCACAUGGUGAAAAUUUUCACCAAUUCCCUAUCUUGUCCUUUCAUGACAAUUCCAAUGGAAUAGGUAUAGAAGCCACUACCUCGAGAAUCAUUCACCCCCAUGUACGACACCGUACUACCAAUCUUUUCUAGAUUUAUGAUAGCCUUGAAGCUGUUGAUGUAUCUCACUGGUAGGGGUCCAGAAAAAUAAUUACUUGAGAGGUCAAAAAUUUGGAUUUUAGAGAAAAAAGGGCUAGACUUGGAGCUAUUGACACGCAAGGAACCAUGCAUAUGAUUUGACUUCAAAACAAGAACUUGCAAAAAUGGAAGACUUCCCAACCAAUGAGGAAAUGUAUCAUUGAUCUUGUUGUUACCAAGAUCUAGCACUUCCAGACCAUUACAAUUAAGGAUGGAUGGUGUCAAAGGCCCUUCUAACAGAUUUCCAUUUAAGUUGAAAUUAGUCAGUUGGCAUCCCUUUGCAAAUGUUAGAGGAAUCGUCCCAUAGAACUCGUUCUUCUUCAGAUUGAAGACUUGAAGGAUGUUGCUCAGAUUUCCAAAACAUUGCGGAAUUGUUCCACUCAAGUAAUUGUGGGACAAAUCAAGAAUUUGAAGAUAAGUGGCAUUGCAUAUUAAAGAAGAGACCUCUCCAUUGAAACUGUUAUUUGAGAUCAAAAAGACAUUGAUGGUCGAAGCUGGAAUCGGAAGAUUUCCACGGAUCAAAUUGGAGCUUAAGUCAAGAAAUUCAAUAUUCUUCCAUGGAAAGUGCUCAACUUCUGUCAAAGAGUUGUGAGAUACGUUUAAGUAAGUCAAAGAGUCAUUCCCCACCUCUUGCAUCCACUGUGGAAUCUUGCCUUCAAUUUUGUUGCAAGAGAGGUCUAACCUUUCCAAACUUUUAAGCCCUUUUAAAAACUGGGGGAAUUCACUAAGAUUGCAAGAUGACAAAAAUAAGCUUCUAAGAUUAACAGUAGAUGUAGUAUUAGAUGUUAAGUAUAGGCUGUUAAAUGAAAGGUCGAGAUAUUUUAGAUUUGGAAGGUUUGAGAACAUACGUAACUCUAUGACACCACUUAGAUUAUUUGAGGAUAAAACGAGCAAGGUAAGAUUGAGAAGUUGGAAUAUUGAAGAUGGAAAAGGACCUUGGAGUUUAUUAUUGUUUAGAUAUAAAUGUUCUAGUGAUUUGGAUUGGAAUUCUUGGAUAUGCCCACUGAAUUGAUUUUGAGAGAGAAUUAUAACCUUUAAGGAGGGAGCAGUAUACAACCAUGACGGAAGUGUUCCAUUGAGUAAAUUGUCAGAUAAGCCUAAAUAUAUUAGAUUAGGAAAAGUGGUUACCUCAUCUGGAAUGGAUCCUUCUAAAGAAUUUUCAGAUAUUCCCAAGUAUUCCAGCUGGGUUAGGUUUAGAAUUGACAAUGGAAUUUGUCCACUCAAUUGGUUCUGCGACAAGUCUAAAUGAGUGAGUUGCAAGAGGUUCCCCAAUGAUAUUGGAAUUUGUCCACUCAAUUGGUUCUGCCACAAGUUUAAAUCAGUGAGUUGCAAGAGGUUCCCCAAUGAUCUUGGAAUUUGUCCACUCAAUUGGUUCUGCCACAAGUCUAAAUCAGUGAGUUGCAAGAGGUUGCCCAAUGAUCUUGGAAUUUGUCCACUCAAUUGGUUCUGCCACAAGCCUAAAUUAGUGAGUUGCAAGAGGUUCCCCAAUGAUCUUGGAAUUUUUUCACUCAAUUGGUUCUGCCACAAGCCUAAAUGAGUGACUUGCAAGAGGUUCCCCAAUGAUCUUGGAAUUUUUCCACUCAAUUGGUUCUGCCACAAACCUAAAUCAGUGAGUUGCAAGAGAUUCCCCAAUGAUCUUGGAAUAUUUCCACUCAAUUGGUUCUGCCACAAGCCUAAAUGAGUGAGUUGCAAGAGGUUCCCCAAUGAUCUGCCACAAGCCUAAAUGAGUGAGUUGCAAGAGUUUCCCCAAUGAUCUUGGAAUUUGUCCACUCAAUUGGUUCUCACACAAGUCUAAAUAAGUGAGUUGCAAGAGGUUCUCCAAUGAUCUUGGAAUUUGUCCACUCAAUAGGUUCUGUGACAAGUCUAAAUAAGCGAGUUGCAAGAGGUUCCCCAGUGAUCUUGGACCCGGUCCUGAUAAGUUGGAAUGGGAGAGAUCUAAAACCUUCAAGGACACAAGAUUCCCCAUCCAGUCAGGCAAUCCUCCAAAAAAAUUUGCGCCUCCAAGAAUCAACUACUCCAAAGAUGAUAAAUUUGUGAAUGAGACAGACAAUCCUUGAAAGAAGGAAUUUCCUGAGAGAUCUAAGUACUUUAAGGCCUGUAGAUUAUCAACUGAAUCAAUGAAUUCUGUAGAGAAGGACACGAACGACAGAUCCAAAUGUUCAAGAUUGCUGCUCCGAUUGAACUUCAAAGGAUCAAGAUUGAGGUUUUGGUUGCCUCCCAAGUUGAGGAGAUUGAGGUUUGGCAAAUCAAAAAUGUUUUUUGGGAAUUUUCCUUGCAAAUCACAAAAAGCAAGACUGAGAGACCUUAGAGAAGAGGAUAGAUUCAUGAAGACAUGAGCAUUAACAGAAGACAUGUCCAUUCCAUCCAAAAACAGAUGUCUGACCUCGGUUAGGUUGUGAACAAGUCCCUCCAGAGCAUGUUUGUCAAUUGUUUGUGCAUCACCCCAACAGGAGAGAUCAAGUGAAACCAAUUUUGACAGGUGGGAGACUUGGGAUGGGACUUCUCCUGCAAACCCUGUAUUGGAAAGGUUGAGGUAGAAUAGGCUUGUAAACCGACCUAAGUCGGAUGGAAUUUUGGAAAGAUUAAAAUCAUUGAAGGCAAGGUUGAGUUUUUGAAGGUGAGGAAGAAGGAAGAGAGUGGUAUUGGAAGGGAAGUUGCCAGAUAGCCAACUGCAGCUCAAGUCAAGGGCAAUAACAUGAGCAUUUAGGUGGUCACAAGUGACCCCAUCCCAUGAGCAGCAAUCUGUACCCUCCUUCCAUGAAUUUGUCUUGGGAUAAGAUUUAGGGCCGCAAGACGAAUAAGCAGCCUCUGUUAUGGAAAAAGAGUUCUUGAACUGGAUUAGUAAAGAGCAGGAGUGAGAUCCUGAAGAAGAAAAAGAAGCAUAAAGAUGGGGAAAGAAGAGGAAUAGGCAGAGAAAGAGACAGGGGGGCAUGUUAUGUUUGUAGAGGAAGAUGAAGGAUAGGAAUGGUAUUUAUAGGCAACAAAUAAUACAACAACAUUGGUGUUACAGUCUUUUUUAUUUUCUCGAGUUCUAUGAGUUUGUUUAAAUUCGCCGUGAAUACUCGAUUUUUUUUUACGUUUUUGAUUCAAAUACCGCUAAAAACAUUAAUCGGUUGCCAUUAAAUAUGUCAUUUUCUAUUAGCUGCAAGAAAACUAUCCGAUAAACUGCAUCUUCUUCUUUAGAUGAAAUUUUGUAAAAAAAAUUUGACAUUAUCUCUUAUAUGGUCCUUCAAUUUUAUUUAAAAAAUGAUUUUAACUCUCCAUUUAAUUUUUCAAACAAAUUAACGCAACAUUUUAGUUAUUGUCUACUGUCCAAUAAUGCCAUGUGUAUCAGUACAAACAUUCCCAUUUCUUUUUUUUUUUUUUCAUUUUCCCAAAAACUCAUUUCACUCUUAGCUUUAUAAAGAAAAAAAAAGUUAUUUUAGCCCUUAAUUUAAUUUUUCAUCUUCUUUAACCCUUAAACUUAUAUUGUUUAUCAAAUAACCCUUAAACUUGCAUUGUUUAUCAGAUGAAAAAAUUAAUAUCUAUUAACUUUGCUAACGUGCAUACAUAUGCAACCUCAUUUAAAUCUAAAAAAUAUAAAAAUAAUUAAAUAUGUAUAAAUCUAAAAAUAUCUUAAAAUUAAAACUAAAAUUUUUUAAACUAAUACAAAUUUUUAUUAUUUAAAAAAUCUUAAAAUUUUCAAAUUAAAUUCCAUUUGUUUUCCACCAUUGAAGAACACCUUCAAUCACAUCAACAACUUCAUACUAUUUUGCCUAGAAAUUGUUUUGCAAAUUUAUUUUGUUUAUUUAUUUCUAAACCCAUAUUUCUUUUCUAUAACCCCAAUGGUAGCAAAGGAAAUGUAAAAAAAAAAAAACUUAAAAAUCAAAUUUUUAAUGAUGAAGGGAAUUGAUUUAUAUUAAAACCAAGGAUUACACUGAAAAUACAAAGAGUUGAAGGUACUAAACAAGCAAAUAAACCCUAGCUACAGUGAUAAUUAACUUAACUAUCUACUAUUGGAACCAAGAAAAACUAAAAGAAAACAUGAAUUAAACCCUAGAGUUAUGAAGAAGAAAACAAAAACUCUAAAAAUAAAGAGAAAAAUUGAAAACCGUGAAAUGUUAAGUGUGCCCUUUGUUCAGCCAAUUUUUUGCCCUUUCUAGCAAAUUACAGAUCCAAAAAUAGUGACCAAAUUGUCUUUGAUGGUCUAAUUUUGGUUAGGGGGAAAAGGAUUACCCCUACGGUUAUUUUUUUGUCUCCUCCCAUCAAUGAUAUUGCGAUACCCAAAGUUUGGUAUCGCGAUAUCCACGACAGUCUUGAGGAUCCUUGGGAGUUUUGGGUAUCGCGAUACCUUAUGACCGUUAUCACGAUAACACUGUUGAUAUGCGGUACCCUCUUUCUAGGUGACAUUUUCGAUCCUUCUGAGCCACCAUGGGAUCUCUGCAUCACUCAUCAACCUCAUCAGAUUCCUCGGAUGCCAUUUGGCCAUCUCAGAUCUCAAAAUAGUAUCAAAAUGGACACUAAUCAUUUAUUAGUAUAAAGAACUAAAACUAAAUAAAAAAACGACAAAGAUAUCUAAAUUGCUUGAAAAUAAGUUUUUAAGUGUGAUGGAGAGCCUAAUUUGACAUAUCAAUUUACAACAGAUUAUAAACAUAAUUUGCGGAACCUUGUUAAAAUUUUGAUUUUCUUUAUUAGUUUCUUUCAAUAUUCUGUACGGUACAUUUGUAGUAAUAUAUUGUGCAGAUCAUAGACUACAUUGCUUUAUUAGUGUUCUAUUGUUAAUCUAUUAUUAUUAUUAUUAUUAUUAUUAUUAGCACCACUUCCUUUUUACCAUAUAAUUUUUAUUCAUAAAAAUGAAGAGUUGAUUUACUAAAGAAAGAAGAAGAAUUGAUGAGAUUAUAAAGUAUAUUGACUUGGUCUUGCUUCCUUUAUAUGUAUGAAUGUGGAAAUCGGCAUAAUGCCAACUUAUUUUCCACGCAGAGGAAGAAAAUGGUGCUCUCUUGUCACUCCCUUUAACUUGACAAAAUACAAGACAUGUGAUCCACCAAUGAAUGUUUGACUAUCUCCAUCUCACUUUUUAUUAAUCAAGGAAUAUAAACUUACUAUUUCAACAUUUCAUAAGCAAAAGCUAAAAUAAUAUUGGUCACAUCCCAUAUCUUCAUAAGACAAAAGUUAAAACAGCCUUCAGUUCAUCUACAUUCUACAUUCAUAUCAAUUGCACACAAAGUCAUAUCUGCAAGCAUCAAAUAUUAACCUUUCAACUCCAUAAUAACAACACCAAUUUCUAACAAUUGCAGAAGAAUGUCCAAUCAUUCCACACAAAUUAACAACAAUUUGUAGCAUCCACUACAUUCAUAUCAAUUCCACACAAAUUAAGACUGCAAUUUCUAACUUGUUUAUACCCUCAAUGAAGCUACCUAAAAGAUAUGAAUUUUUUAAUAUUAUAAAGUUAAGUGACCAAAACAUAAAUUUUCUACUAGAUUAGUACUUGAGGUGUAGUUUACCUUAUAAUAAAUAACUAUAAUAAAUUUGUGAAUCAAUUGCAUAAUUAAAUUAAGAUUUUCAAGCCUUUUACCAAACCAAACUUGAAAGGAGAAAAAGAAUCAUGAAAGAAUCCAGUUUUAAAAGCCUUUCACUUUUCCCAAGUCCAAUACACAAAUUCACAAGAUCCCACACUCUCAUUUAUCCUCUUCAAAAAGCAAGGUCCACAACAAAAGAUUAAUUUAGAUAUUAAUUAUUUUAUUUUAAUGGGAUAUAAUUUGAUAUUUUGUUUUUAUUUUAAUUAAGUGUGUUUAAAUUAGUGAUAUUUGUUAUAAUAAUUAAGUUAUACAUUCGGGAAGGUUGAUAAUAAUGUUCACACCAUAGAUGUUGUGAAGAGCCACUAAAAGUGACAAUUUAUCUAUGCUAAAAAGGUGUUUGAAUAGAGUAAUAUUGGACAAUGUCCUACCUCAAGACCCAAAAGGGAUGCCAAUUUAAGACCCAAGGAAGCCUUCGACUUAUCUCACUUGUGUAAGGAGCUAGAGUUAUCUCUUUACUAUUAACAACAUAAUUAAUCAUAUUCUAUAAUUCACCUUUAAGGUGUCUUAUUCACUUGUUUAGGUCAACUAUACCAAAUUCAGCAUUUUAUUUCGCCAAACCAAAAUUGUCAUUUGCCAUAUAGGGAUCGCCAAGCCUAUAAAAGCCAAAAUCUUUUCAAAGAUUUGCCUCGUUUAGCUCGAUUCUUCAAUUUAUCUUCUCAAUCUCAAUUAUUAACGUUUGUCUCUCUAACUUGCCUCCUCAAAUUUAAUCAUUAAAACUAAAUGCAUUACGUGCUCACCAUACUACAAGAACAUAAACUUAUUUAUUUCAAGAGGAUCACUUUAUAAAUUUCCAUCAAUUAGGGAAAAAUUAUUAUACCUCUAUAAGUAUAUUUUAAAAUAUGGCGAUAUUUCAAGAUAGCACCUAUCACAUUUCAAUAAAACUCAUUAUAUAUCUACCACCAUCAUAAUUAAGUAAUAGAGCAUCAUUCUAUAUGGACACACAUCAAGCUCAUUUCCUUUUAUGUUAAUUAUUCACGUAAUUCUAAUUUUCAAUUAUUUCCUUAAAUAUUAAAAAUAACUACUCUGUUAAUGCCAUGUAGCUAUUUUGAUUAAUGAUUUCCAUUUAAUUUGUUUUCCUCCUGACUUGGAAAUGUGGACUUGACAACAAAAUGAAAUUUGAGCAUGACACCUUAAUUUUGUGGUUGGUUUGACGAAUACUGAAGGUUGGUCAUCUUGAAACAUAUAUAAAAUUAAAUGAUUGAAUUAUUGAAAUUAUUAAAUAAAAUAAUUAUGAAAUUAGAAUUUAAGGUUAGAGGUUAUUUUUAGAAUUUUAAAUUUUCUUUUACUGCUAACUUGUAAAAAAAUUAUGAAAAUACAACAGAGAUCAUUGACACAUUUUGUUCUCCUUUCUCCUUUACUGAGCAGUAGCAAAGAUUAUCGAGACUAAAUUGAAAGUCAUGAAAGAAGACAUAAACAACACCACCAUACAAAAUGUUACAUUCAAACAAACCAUUACAGAUAGCACGAAAUGCAAUGAAAGGCAGAGGAAUUGGUACGAUAAUAAAGACAGACACGUACCAAUGCAACCCUUCACCAUAGGCAAAACGGUCUACAGAACAAUAAAUUAUGAAAAUACAACACUAAUUCUUCAACAUCAUUUGCUGUAAUUAGAUCCUUCUUCGUCUAUUGCUCCGAUUGCCUUUCUUUGACUUUCUUCUUCGCCUCUUCUCUUGUUGGUUUUCAACCAAAUUCACCAACCAUUUCGGCUUACCAGUUUGGAAAACAACAUAUCCCACCGACAUUCCGAACACCACUCCGCAUCCAUAACCUAUCAACACCACUUUC